GCCAAGAUAGCUCAGUCGGCAGAGCGGCGCAUUCGUAACGCGCAGGUCCCGGGUUCGAUCCCCGGUCUUGGCU
rnacentral:tRNA from 1 species